GAUGAAGAACGUAGCGAAAUGCGAUAAGUAAUGUGAAUUGCAGAAUUCAGUGAAUCAUCGAAUCUUUGAACGCACCUUGCGCCCUUUGGCCAUUCCGAAGGGCAUGCCUGUUUGAGUAUCAUGAACACCUCAACUCUUCAUGGUUUUCCAUGAUGAGCUUGGACUUUGGGGGUCUUGCUGGCCUACGAUCGGCUCCUCUAAAAUAAAUCAGCUUGCCAGUGUUUGGUGGGUAUCGCAGGUGUGAUAACUAUCUACGCUUGUGGUUUUCCACCAAGUAACCUUCAGCAGUGGAGGUUCACUGGAGCUCACAGAUGUGUCUCUCCUCAGUGAGGGACAGCUCUUUGAAUGUUUGAUCUCAAAUCAGGUAGGACUACCCGCUGAACUUAAGCAUAUCAAUAAGCGGAGGA
rnacentral:misc_RNA from 1 species